rnacentral:misc_RNA from 1 species
GGAUGAAGAACGCAGCGAAAUGCGAUAAGUAAUGUGAAUUGCAGAAUUCAGUGAAUCAUCGAAUCUUUGAACGCACAUUGCGCCUCUUGGUAUUCCGAGAGGCACACCUGUUCGAGCGCCAUUUCUACCUCAAGCCUAGCUUGGUGAUGGGCACCGCCGCGAUGGCGAGCCCGAAACGCGUGUGAGCGCCGUGGUCCCGGUUUCGAGCGUAGCAAGAGUAGUCCUCCCUCGCUCGGAGCCCGCCAGGGUCGCCGUCAAACCGUAAAACUUUUUCACAGGUUGGCCUCGGAUCAGGUGGGGAUACCCGCUGAACUUAAGCAUAUCAAUAAGCGGAGGA